UUGCAAAUUUAAAUUUAGAGC
rnacentral:piRNA from 1 species